rnacentral:rRNA from 1 species
AGAGUUUGAUCCUGGCUCAGGAUGAACGCUAGCGGCGCGCUUAAUGCAUGCAAGUCGAGCGAUGAGGCCUUCUUCGGAGGGCACAUCAGCGGCAGACGGGUGAGUAACACGUGGGUGACCUGCCCUUGAGACGGGGAUAACGGAUGGAAACAUGCGCUAAUACCCGAUAGGGUCCCAGGGUCAAAGCUGGGAUGAAAGCUUUGGUGCUCAAGGAGGGGCUCGCGGCCCAUCAACUAGUUGGUGAGGUAACGGCUCACCAAGGCGAAGACGGGUAGGGGGUGUGAGAGCACGGCCCCCCACAAUGGGACUGAGACACGGCCCAUACUCCUACGGGAGGCAGCAGCAGGGAAUAUUGCACAAUGGACGGAAGUCUGAUGCAGCGACGCCGCGUGGAUGAUGAAGGCCUUCGGGUUGUAAAAUCCUUUACGGGGUGACGAGGAAGGACGGUAGCCCCGGAACAAGCGUCGGCUAACUACGUGCCAGCAGCCGCGGUAAGACGUAGGACGCAAGCGUUAUCCGGAUUUACUGGGCGUAAAGCGUCUGUAGGUGGAUGAGUAAGUUGGGCGUGAAAGCUCCGGGCUCAACCCGGAGAGGCCGUUCAAUACUGCUGAUCUAGAGGAGGCCAGAGGGGAGUGGAAUUCCUGGAGUAGCGGUAAAAUGCGUAGAUAUCAGAAGAACACCAGUGGCGAAGCGGCUCCCUAGGGCUCACCUGACGCUGAGAGACGACAGCUAGGGAGCGAACAGGAUUAGAGACCCUGGUAGUCCUAGCCGUAAACGAUGGAUG